CCUACGGGUGGCAGCAGUGAGGAAUAUUGGUCAAUGGACGUGAGUCUGAACCAGCCAAGUAGCGUGAAGGAUGACUGCCCUAUGGGUUGUAAACUUCUUUUAUACGGGAAUAAAAUGCUCCACGUGUGGGAUUUUGUAUGUACCAUAUGAAUAAGGACCGGCUAAUUCCGUGCCAGCAGCCGCGGUAAUACGGAGGGUCCGAGUGUUAUCCGGAUUUAUUGGGUUUAAAGGGAGCGUAGGUGGAAUGUUAAGUGAGCUGUGAAAUUCUGUGGCUCAACCAUGGAAUUGCAGUGGAAACUGGCAGGCUGGAGUGCGCGGAACGUAGGCGGAAUUCGUGGUGUAGCGGUGAAAUGCUUAGAUAUCACGAAGAACUCCGAUUGCGAAGGCAGCACACGGGAGUGCAACUGACGCUGAAGCUCGAAGGUGCGGGUAUCGAACAGGAUUAGAUACCCGGGUAGUC
rnacentral:rRNA from 1 species